AUGAAGAUAUUCUUCGUUAUUAUCAAAUAAUACAUAGCAAUACCGAACAAAAACCAAAUUUUUUGAUGGUGGGAGAAUGCAUCUCUGAGUUGGGAGGACGCAAUAAAAAUUCCAGCCACAGAAACAAAAAACGUCUGGCUUUUCUCACGAUUGAUCUCAUAUUCCCAUUUAUGCUAGGGUCGGCCACACUUCACAUACUCUCCCUGGUCAUUCACGGUUCAUCUCCCAGCUGCACCUCACACGCCUCUCCUCUCAGCCGACCAAUCCAGCCCAAGCCAUGUCGUCAACAUCCGCUGCUGCCAUCUCCAUCUAUAUCAGGUUUUGGGGCCAGAGCAUGGAAGUGGAAGGAAAAACAGGAGUAAAUAGUAAGGAUUCCGCAUAUCAAAGAUAUAAUACAUAGCAGGCUGCUAGGUGGAUUGAUCAGAAACUUUUGGCCGACAAUAACCCUUACCAAUUGAAGUCAUGGUACUAUGGUUGUCUCACCCACCUAGUGCUAAAAUGGGACUGGUUUACAGAUUUGACUCAGCCAAUGUCCUCCUAGAUUUUUGCUGAUCCAUAUUGGUUUAAACAAGAGGGUUCCAAGCUUUUCCAUAUGAUAUGGCAUAAAAGUAUUCCUUUUACAGGUAUCUAUUUUUAUCUGGGGAAUUUUAUAUAAGCUUAUUCCUACGGAUGAUAAUUUGAUUAAAAGAGGCUUUAUCCUUCCAUCUAAAUGCCAAUGUUGUUUUUAUGUGGACAAUAUGCAUCAUAUUUUCGUUUCUAGUCCUUUCGCGACCAAAGUUUGGACUUAUUUUGAUGACAUUUUUCAUUUAAAUUAUUUUUCUGCUAUGGGCUCUAUUAAUGCUUUGCUUAACUGUUGGUUUGUUAAAUUCAAAGGCCAUAUCAGAAAUGUUAUUCCUUCCCAUAUCCUUUGGUAUUUAUGGUUGGAUAGGAACAAUUCCUGUUUCAAUGCGGUGGUUAUGAACCAUCAUAAAAUUAUUCAAAAUAUUAAGGAAAGGUUGUGGAACUUUAUUCUGCUAAGUUAGUUUCAGUCAAGAAUUUCAAAAACUACUCUACUGCGGUUGAUUUAGGUAUUAACUUGGAGGUGGAUAUUCUUCAUAAAAGUUCUAGGUGUAUUUCUGGGAUGAUGUCUCCUUCCAACUAUCUUAAGUUCAAUGUUGAUGGUGCUAGAAUGAACUCUUUUGUGGGCUAUGGUGGUGUCAUCAGGGACACUAAUGGUAAUUAUAUUUUGGGUUUUGCUAGUCCUUUACUUAAUUAUGAUGUCCAUUUUGCUACUACCUAUGCCAUUCUUCAUGGCUUAAGACUUUGUUUUAGUCUUAAUUACAUUAAUAUUUUGGUGGAGGUUGGUUCUAAUUACUGCUAUCAGUCUUUUAAUUCUAGGGAGGAUACUGUUUAUUCCUCUACAUUGUUUUAUACAAGGAGGGACAUUAAGAACUUAUUGAGCCUUUUAAAUUGCUCUUUUUAUGUUCUUCUUGAGGAGGGCAAUGCUUGCGCUCAUUUGAUUACCAGGUGGGGCUAUGGGUUUGAUUAUAUGGCCGAGUUUUUUGUUUCUAAUCUUCCUUUUCUUAUGAAAGGCCUCUUAAGAUUGGAUAAGAUUGGUUUACCUCAUGUUAACUCUUAAUGGUGAUGUGGGUGUUGGUUUUUGGUGGAGUUGGCUGUGCUUUUUUCCACGCUUCGUGUUUCUAUUGUUUGGAUUGUGAGUUUUUCUUUCUCUGGUGGCAGUGGGUUCUGUUUGGUUGUUCUGCUUUAUGGCCGUUUGGUCCCUUCUGCUGUUGCUUGGGGGGCCUUAUUUUAUAUGUUGGCUGGAUUAACUUCUUCCUGAAUGUGUUAUUCUAUAAGUUGCUGGAGUGGUUUUUGUGCUGCUUAUUGGUGCCCAUUUUUAUCUAUUUUUUGGGUCGCCUGUGCGUGUGGUUGGUGGCUUUCUGGAAUAUUCUUUAUGGUCCUUUUUAUUUGCCUUCCUGGAGUAGCUUUAGAUGCAUUGAUAGUGUUGAAUUUUAUGCUUUAGUGAAGUAUCUCAUCCUUUUAUUUCUUUGUUUUUGUUUGGAUGACAUUGAGCUAUAUUGCUAUUGUUGGAUGAGUUUUUUGGGUGGUUCUGGGCUGUUUUCCCUUGAUCAAUUCUGGGACCCAUGGUUCAUUUCGGUUGCUAGCCUUUAUGCUUCUCUUACCUGCAGCACUUUCCCCCAUAGUCUUCUUGCUCGGACAUUUACCUGGAGCCUUAGCAUGGAUAUCUGGUUGGUUAAUCUGUUUAUGGGGAGAUGGCUUUAGCUCUCCCAUCUCUCGGGUUUCUGGUACUCUAUUCUUUCCAGGUGGCUAUUUUCCCUUUUGGAUUAUCAUUAGCCUGGAUUAUUAGAGAUGUACACUGUUGGUAAUACUUCUUGCAUUAAUACUGUUCCUGUUAUCUUUAUUUAUGAGGAGGUUGUGGUUUGUUUGUGUUAUUCUACUGAUGGUGAUUGGACUUAUAUAAUUGUUCCCUGUUUACCUAUUUUAUAUAUAACAACCAUAUCUCUUGGAAUUAUCACCUUGCUAGAUAUUAUUAUUUUUUGUGCUAUUUUUUUCGUGGCCUUCACCUUCUUUUGCAGGAUUUUAUUAGUGCAGGUACUCGUGGUGAUGAUUUUUUGGAUAGGAAGAUGGAGUUCAAAGCUAUUUUUUGGUGUAUUCCUUCUUUUUGGGUGCUCUUACUUGUGCACCGUAGAAUGUAUCUAGGUAUUAAUGUACUUUUGCCUAGUUGGGAUCUUGAGCUCAUGGAUUUUUUUGGUUUUAAUUUUGUAGCUCUUUUGAGCAUUAAUGAGCUCGAGGUCCCUUUAAGGACUUUGUAAUUUUUUUCCUAUAUUAACAUGUCGGCCCCUCUUUGGGUU